CUAUUAUUUGUGGAAAAUCUUUGCAGAAGUGGAAAACAUGGGAAGGUCUUGGUUCAAGUCACAGCACAUGGUCCAUGAGCAUGUGAAUAUCCUAGAGAAAUUUUGUAAUUGUGUUGAGUUUAGCAAACUGUUUAAAGAAUGCAUUCAGAGUACACCUUAUAAAACUAAACACAAAGAUGCCUCUCUUCCAUCAUCAAACUUAAAAAGACAUACAACUGGGAACACCAAAGACAUUUAUAAAUAUAAAG
rnacentral:lncRNA from 1 species